GGCCAGGCUGUCUCCACCCGAGACUCAGUGAAAUUGAACUCGCUGUGAAGAUGCAGUGUACCCGCGGCAAGACGGAAAGACCCCGUGAACCUUUACUAUAGCUUGACACUGAACAUUGAGCCUUGAUGUGUAGGAUAGGUGGGAGGCUUUGAAGUGUGGACGCCAGUCUGCAUGGAGCCGACCUUGAAAUACCACCCUUUAAUGUUUGAUGUUCUAACGUGGACCCGUAAUCCGGGUUGCGGACAGUGUCUGGUGGGUAGUUUGACUGGGGCGGUCUCCUCCUAAAGAGUAACGGAGGAGCACGAAGGUUGGCUAAUCCUGGUCGGACAUCAGGAGGUUAGUGCAAUGGCAUAAGCCAGCUUGACUGCGAGCGUGACGGCGCGAGCAGGUGCGAAAGCAGGUCAUAGUGAUCCGGUGGUUCUGAAUGGAAGGGCCAUCGCUCAACGGAUAAAAGGUACUCCGGGGAUAACAGGCUGAUACCGCCCAAGAGUUCAUAUCGACGGCGGUGUUUGGCACCUCGAUGUCGGCUCAUCACAUCCUGGGGCUGAAGUAGGUCCCAAGGGUAUGGCUGUUCGCCAUUUAAAGUGGUACGCGAGCUGGGUUUAGAACGUCGUGAGACAGUUCGGUCCCUAUCUGCCGUGGGCGCUGGAGAACUGAGGGGGGCUGCUCCUAGUACGAGAGGACCGGAGUGGACGCAUCACUGGUGUUCGGGUUGUCAUGCCAAUGGCACUGCCCGGUAGCUAAAUGCGGAAGAGAUAAGUGCUGAAAGCAUCUAAGCACGAAACUUGCCCCGAGAUGAGUUCUCCCUGAGACUUAGAGUCUCCUGAAGGAACGUUGAAGACGACGACGUUGAUAGGCCGGGUGUGUAAGCGCAGCGAUGCGUUGAGCUAACCGGUACUAAUGAACCGUGAGGCUUAACCUUACA
rnacentral:rRNA from 1 species